rnacentral:sRNA from 1 species
AUACCUUUUUCUUAUCUCUCUGAUAUAAUACUGUUUUUACAAGCUAUAUCAGCAAUUCUUCUUACACUUAUGACGAAAUGAGUCAGGCUACUCCGGUGUGGAUAAUCCUUCGAUAUCGCGAACAACCUUUUCAAAAACCUACAGCAAUCAUCAAUGCUUUUGUCGGAACUGGAUAAAGUCCGAAUAUUGACCCAAAUACUUAAUAUCGAAUAAGUAAAUUGAAUUGAUUAUUCUAACUCUAGGCAGUAUUUAUAAGAAAGAGAAUGCUUGAUAUGAUAGAUCACUUCUCACAGCUUUCUUUACCUGGCGAGAUAUUCAACCUCUAGAAGACUACUAUACACAUAUAUGUAGUAAUCCUCCUUCUUCUCGGUUAUAUCUUGUUCUCGAUCUCUACUGCAAAACACAUCCAAAUGUCGAUCUUAACAAGUUAGACCUUGAAGUCUUUCAAGUCUCAGGAAUUGAUUCAUUGUGCGUUACCACUUCUAUGACCCAACUAAGCUAACUAUAUUUAGUACAUUUAAGGAUCUCGGAGAGUUAGCUCGCAAGCAGGUUCACCAGCGAUCUGCUUCUCUGGAUUGGGGGGAAGGCAACCGAUCUAGUCAGAGGAAUUAGUCAGUGUUGUUCCAGCACAGGGAGGACAGGAACCCGCUAUAUUUAUGUCUUGCACAUUGAGAAUCAACAGGAGAUCUCUCAGAAACCUAGUGGCAGGUUGGCAUGGGUCAUUUGCAUCGCUUCUUGCGAGUGUACAAAAGAUAAUGUGAUCUCAAUUCAUAUGCUUGGGAAUACGCGUACAAGCUGCGUAUGUCUUGCAGGCCCAUUCACACAUUGCGUCGUGAGAGUGAAGGAAGUUAGUCAAAGUUGAAUAUUGCAGAGAGGACCUUCACACGAUGGUCUUGAAAGAAUGGAAAGGAGGCUCGAAGAGGAGACAAUCUGUAUUUAUAGAAUCAAUGCUUAUAAUAGUUGCGGGCUAAAGGGGCAGCGUGAUCGAUGGAAUAAAUAAGAGGCUCAGCACCUGGAACAUGAAGGCUUCUGCGGGUCUGUUUGAUCGAAUUUGUGAUGGUAUGAUACUGCUUCUUCGAUGAGGGGGCAACGGAAGUGGAUAAUGCCCGUACGGUAAGACUUGCGUAGAUUGGAAUAUUGUGUUUCCGUUAUAUCAGCAGGCAAAUGUCUAUUCUUGUCUGCUCAGAGUAUCUCCUUCUAGGCUGUUAAG